rnacentral:rRNA from 1 species
UACGUAGGGGGCUAGCGUUAUCCGGAUUUACUGGGCGUAAAGGGUGCGUAGGCGGUCUUUCAAGUCAGGAGUUAAAGGCUACGGCUCAACCGUAGUAAGCUCCUGAUACUGUCUGACUUGAGUGCAGGAGAGGAAAGCGGAAUUCCCAGUGUAGCGGUGAAAUGCGUAGAUAUUGGGAGGAACACCAGUAGCGAAGGCGGCUUUCUGGACUGUAACUGACGCUGAGGCACGAAAGCGUGGGGAGCAAACA